rnacentral:rRNA from 1 species
AGCGAACGCUGGCGGCAGGCCUAACACAUGCAAGUCGAACGAACCUUUCGGGGUUAGUGGCGGACGGGUGAGUAACACGUGGGAACGUGCCUUUAGGUUCGGAAUAACUCAGGGAAACUUGUGCUAAUACCGAAUGUGCCCUUCGUGGGAAAGAUUUAUCGCCUUUAGAGCGGCCCGCGUCUGAUUAGCUAGUUGGUUGAGGUAAUGGCUCACCAAGGCGACGAUCAGUAGCUGGUCUGAGAGGAUGAUCAGCCACAUUGGGACUGAGACACGGCCCAAACUCCUACGGGAGGCAGCAGUGGGGAAUCUUGCGCAAUGGGCGAAAGCCUGACGCAGCCAUGCCGCGUGAAUGAUGAAGGUCUUAGGAUUGUAAAAUUCUUUCACCGGGGACGAUAAUGACGGUACCCGGAGAAGAAGCCCCGGCUAACUUCGUG